UACGUAGGGGGCAAGCGUUAUCCAGAUUUACUGGGCGUAAAGCGUGCGCAGGCGGUCUGUUAAGACCGAUGUGAAAUCCCCGGGCUUAACCUGGGAACUGCAUUGGUGACUGGCAGGCUUUGAGUGUGGCAGAGGGAGGUAGAAUUCCACGUGUAGCAGUGAAAUGCGUAGAGAUGUGGAGGAACACCGAUGGCGAAGGCAGCCCCCUGGGUUAACACUGACGCUCAGGCACGAAAGCGUGGGGAGCAAACAGG
rnacentral:rRNA from 1 species